GGGUCCGCGUUUCAUUAGCUAGUUGGUAGGGUAAUGGCCUACCAAGGCAACGAUGAGUAGCUGGUCUGAGAGGAUGAUCAGCCACACUGGAACUGAAACACGGUCCAGACUCCUACGGGAGGCAGCAGUGGGGAAUAUUGCGCAAUGGGCGAAAGCCUGACGCAGCAACGCCGUGUGAGGGAUGAAGGCUUUCGGGUCGUAAACCCCUGUCGGAAGGGAAGAACGGGCAAUGGUCUAAUAGGCCGUUGUUUUGACGGUACCUUUAGAGGAAGCACCGGCUAACUCCGUGCCAGCAGCCGCGGUAAUACGGAGGGUGCAAGCGUUAUUCGGAAUUACUGGGCGUAAAGCGCACGUAGGCGGCCUUGUAAGUCAGGGGUGAAAUCCCACGGCUCAACCGUGGAACUGCCUUUGAAACUGCAGGGCUUGAAUCCUGGAGAGGGUGGCGGAAUUCCUGGUGUAGGAGUGAAAUCCGUAGAUAUCAGGAGGAACACCGGUGGCGAAGGCGGCCACCUGGACAGGUAUUGACGCUGAGGUGCGAAAGUGUGGGGAGCAAACAGGAUUAGAUACCCUGGUAGUCCACACCGUAAACGAUGGACACUAGAUGCCGGAC
rnacentral:rRNA from 1 species